AGUAAUUUAUUUUAUAUAUUUGUGCGUAUGUGUGUUUAAGUUUUCAGGUAUGUCUGUGUAUCAUGUGUGUGCUGAUGCCAUGGAGCCAGAAGAGGACGUCGGAUCCCCUGGGGCUGGAGUUAUGGGUAGUGUACUGAGAAUAGAACCUGGAGCCCCAUGUAUGCCUGACAGGUAUGCUCCUCAACUGCCUGGGCCACGCAGGAAGAGCUUCACAUCUUCAAAGGCGUUAAAAAUGUCCCUAGCCUCUGUGCAGGGCACACAAAGAACAUGCCUGGAGGAUAAAAGUGCAACGCCGUGUAAUGAACUCGGCAAGAACAAGGUCAUCGGGGACACAGCUAAGUAACGUUUCAAAUGAGGCACUCAGGGUGACUUUGGUAAGCUACAGUAAGUUGAUAAGUUGGUUUUUUUUCUUUCUUAAAUGUCUUAGAUUCCA
rnacentral:lncRNA from 1 species